rnacentral:ncRNA from 1 species
GCUCUGGAGAAGCCCUGCGCGAGGCAGGGGGCCGAAGGUGCAAGGCGUAUAUGCGCUGAAACUCUCAGGCAAAAGGACAGAGGAGA